GGGGGGGUGAGUGGAAGAGGGGGGUGUAGGACGAACCGGGGGAACGUGGUUCGGAGUGACUGGGGUGAAAGGGCGCGGAGGCGGGGGGUCGAGUCCGGGGUGAAAUCGUUCAGCUCAACUGGAAAAGUGCCCCGGAGACCGGCCGUCUCGAGGGAGGUAGGGGCAUGCGGAACUUCCGGGGGAGCGGUGAAAUGCGUAGAUAUCGGAAGGAACGCCGGUGGCGAAAGCGGCGUGCUGGACCUCUUCUGACGCUGAGGCGCGAAAGCUAGGGGAGCGAACGGGAUUAGAUACCCCGUAGUC
rnacentral:rRNA from 1 species